UACAGAGGUGCUCGAGCGUUGUUCGGAUUCAUUGGGCGUAAAGGGUGCGUAGGUGGCGCUGUAAGUCGGGUGUGAAAUCCUGAGGCUUAACCUCGGAACUGCAUUCGAUACUGCGGCGCUUGAGGACUGGAGAGGAGACUGGAAUUCAUGGUGUAGCAGUGAAAUGCGUAGAGAUCAUGAGGAAGACCAGUGGCGAAGGCGGGUCUCUGGACAGUUCCUGACACUGAGGCACGAAGGCCAGGGAGCAAACGGG
rnacentral:rRNA from 1 species